GGCUCAUUGGUCUAGGGGUAUGAUUCUCGCUUAGUUUGCGAGAGGUCCUGGGUUCAAAUCCCGGACGAGCCC
rnacentral:tRNA from 2 species